AAACCCUUCUACUACAACGGAGUGCCCUUCCCGAAAAAGAUCCGGUAACGACCCAUCAUACUUAACCAAAAUAUCAGUUAUCAAAUCAGUUAUCACAAAUUCCAUUUCUGGGGAAUUGGGUAUUGGUGUUACACUAUUUUCUAGUACUAAUCCACCGAGUCGAAAUUUGGAUCUUGUAGGGUUUUCAGCAUGUUUUGCUAGAGCAUCUGUAGGGGUUAAAUAGAAUACAAGUUGGUCUUGGAAUUGGUUAAGGACUAUUACUAUGAAUCCUGCUAUGCAGCUGAAUGUGAUGGCAUAGGUCCACAGACGGCGGGUUUGGAGUUGCCGGGCUUUGGCUGCGAUAUCAGGCCGAGCUGAACGGUGAGAUCGUGCGGGCCGGGAGAGUGUGGAGAAGGAUCUGAGGGUGAAAACAGUUUGGUUGGUAUUAAAAUGGGGAAAUACUAACGGCUGCGAUUGGUGGUGGAAAACUGAAAUCAAAGGGUGAGAUCUGGAUAGAGCAGCGGUGGUUGUGGCAGUGGCGCCAGUGACGGCAGAACGAAGGCAAUGGGAAGCUAGACGAGAAACUAAACGAGAAGAGAGUUUUGAAGCCAUUGAGAUUUUGUGGAAUUUAUCAGCUCCUGGAUGGAGAUAAUAAGGAGGGAAUUAAGGUUAGGCGUUGGGCGUUUGGUACUUCCAAAGUUCAGGUCCGAUAAUUCUGUAAUUGGUAACUGAAAGUAGAUAUCAAAGACCAAACUUUCAAAGUUCACCAGUAAUUUUACCAAAUUAUUGGCGUAUCAAAACCUUCAAAAGUUUAUUUAUCACUGGCGUAUAUAGGUUGAAUCGUCUAAGAAAUAAUAUGGAGAGUUGGUAAUACCAUUCCUGGAAAUUCCAAUAAGUACAAGGCAAUCCUAGCCACUAUGAAGCACAACGUCACUGCCGGAGUUUGGUGUUACCAAGUGAGUUUUGAUGUAUACUCCCUCUGUUUGUAGCUGUUGCCGGA
rnacentral:misc_RNA from 1 species